UGAUCCAGAGUACCACGAGACACGUGAAACCUUGUGGGAAGCAGGGAGGACCACCUCCCAAGGCUAAAUACUACCUGAUGACCGAUAGUGAAGCAGUACCGUGAGGGAAAGGUGAAAAGAACCCCGGGAGGGGAGUGAAAUAGAACCUGAAACCGUGUGCCUACAACCGGUCAAAGCCCCUUAUGAGGGUGAUGACGUGCUUUUUGUAGAACGAGCCAACGAGUUACGGUAUGUAGCAAGGUUAAGUACUUAAGGUACGGAGCCGAAGGGAAACCGAGUCUUAAUAGGGCGACUAGUUGCAUGCCGUAGACCCGAAACCGGGUGACCUAUCCAUGGCCAGGUUGAAGCGAGGGUAAAACUUCGUGGAGGACCGAACCACGUUGCUGUUGAAAAAGCAUGGGAUGAGCUGUGGAUAGCGGAGAAAUUCCAAUCGAACUCGGAGAUAGCUGGUUCUCCCCGAAAUAGCUUUAGGGCUAGCGUCGGAUAUGUGUAGUGGAGGUAGAGCACUGAAUGGGCUAGGGGGCAUAUCGCUUACCGAACCUUAUCAAACUCCGAAUGCCAUAUACAUUAAGUCCGGCAGUCAGACUACGAAUGAUAAGAUCCGUGGUCAAAAGGGAAACAGCCCAGACCGUCAGCUAAGGUCCCAAAGUGUAAGUUAAGUGGAAAAGGAUGUGGGAUUUCUAAGACAACUAGGAUGUUGGCUUAGAAGCAGCCACUCAUUUAAAGAGUGCGUAAUAGCUCACUAGUCGAGAGAUCCUGCGCCGAAAAUGUACCGGGGCUAAACUUACCACCGAAGCUACGGAUUUGCAAGUAAUUGCAAGUGGUAGGGGAGCGUCGUAAUCGGGCUGAAGUCGUACCGGAAGGAGCGGUGGACUGAUUACGAGUGAGAAUGUUGGCAUUAGUAGCGAGAUGUAGGUGAGAAUCCUACAGGCCGAAUAUCUAAGGUUUCCUCAGGAAGGCUCGUCCGCUGAGGGUUAGUCGGGACCUAAGCCGAGGCCGAAAGGCGUAGGCGAUGGACAAUCGGUUGAUAUUCCGAUACCACUACCAUCGUUAUUAUCGAGGGUGUGACGGAGAAGGAUAGUGUGUGCUAGCGAUUGGAAAUGCUAGUCUAAGCGUUUAGGGAGUUACGGUAGGCAAAUCCGCUGUAACAAUUCUGAGGCGUGAUGGGGAAGGUCAUUAAGACCGAAGUACAUGAUUCCAUGCUUCCAAGAAAAGCAUCUAGAGAGAGAAGUAGUGCCCGUACCGCAAACCGACACAGGUAGAUGAGGAGAGAAUCCUAAGGCCGGCGGAAGAAUUGCAGUUAAGGAACUAGGCAAAUUGACCCCGUAAGUUCGCGAGAAGGGGUGCCUGCGAGAGCAGGCCGCAGAGAAUAGGCCCAAGCAACUGUUUAGCAAAAACACAGGUCUCUGCUAAAGCGUAAGCUGAUGUAUAGGGGCUGACGCCUGCCCGGUGCUGGAAGGUUAAGGGGAACACUUAGCGCAAGCGAAGGUGUGAACUUAAGCCCCAGUAAACGGCGGCCGUAACUAUAACGGUCCUAAGGUAGCGAAAUUCCUUGUCAGGUAAGUUCUGACCCGCACGAAUGGCGUAAUGACUUGGGCACUGUCUCAACUGCAAAUCCGGCGAAGUUGUAGUGCGAGUGAAGAUGCUCGCUUCCCGCGAUUGGACGGAAAGACCCCGUAGAGCUUUACUGUAGCUUAGCAUUGAAUUCCGGUAUUGUCUGUAC
rnacentral:rRNA from 1 species